rnacentral:rRNA from 1 species
AUUGAACGCUGGCGGCAGGCCUAACACAUGCAGGUCGAGCGGAUGAAGGGAGCUUGCUCCUGGAUUCAGCGGCGGACGGGUGAGGAAUGCCUAGGAAUCUGCCUGGUAGUGGGGGAUAACGUCCGGAAACGGGCGCUAAUACCGCAUACGUCCUGAGGGAGAAAGUGGGGGAUCUUCGGACCUCACGCUAUCAGAUGAGCCUAGGUCGGAUUAGCUAGUUGGUGGGGUAAAGGCCUACCAAGGCGACGAUCCGUAACUGGUCUGAGAGGAUGAUCAGUCACACUGGAACUGAGACACGGUCCAGACUCCUACGGGAGGCAGCAGUGGGGAAUAUUGGACAAUGGGCGAAAGCCUGAUCCAGCCAUGCCGCGUGUGUGAAGAAGGUCUUCGGAUUGUAAAGCACUUUAAGUUGGGAGGAAGGGCAGUAAGUUAAUACCUUGCUGUUUUGACGUUACCAACAGAAUAAGCACCGGCUAACUUCGUG